rnacentral:misc_RNA from 1 species
CAAGAACAUGUGCUGCCCAUGAUCCCAAGUGGGGGGGCUUUUAAAGAUGUGAUAACUGAGGGUGAUGGAAGAACGAAGUAUUGAUCUUUACCAGCAGCAAAUAUGUUAAGGAUUAUGUAUGUUAUGUGGAAUUCCAUGCUUAAAACUAAGGAGUGGCAGGUUUUUUUAAGUUUACUAGUUAGUUAUUUAAUAGUAUCGAUGGUUGUUGUUUGGAUGAAACUUGUGUAUCUGCUUUGUUCUUGUCAGUUUUGCUAAUUUGAACAAGUAGUUU